rnacentral:lncRNA from 1 species
GGUAGAUGUUCUUGGAAGCCUCUGAUAGAUGGCUUGGUUUGGGGAUUGGGUGAGACUUCUGGGAUUAUCCCUAAGUACAAUAGAUUAUACUAAACUGCCCUCUAAAGAGAAGAGGUCCUAUGAACUGCAGGGCUCUUGUCUUGGCAUGUGAAUCUCAGAACAGAGCUGAGUUACUCUGAACUAUGGGGAGAGGAACAUUAGUGGGGCUAGCAGAGAAAAAAGAACCAGGUGGUGAUGCAAGGGAGAGGAGACUUUGGGGAGAAGAUGGACACAUUUAAGGGGAUUUUAAAAAAGCAGUUGGUCUGCUCAUAUUAUACACAUGCACGGAGAUGCGCUCUUAGGCUAGAUAUUACAUUAAGACACAUGUGCCCUCCCAUACAGGUACAGCAUUAUCCAGAUGCAAGUGAGUGAAUCUCUGUGGAGAGAGAGAGAGAGAGAGAGAGAGAGAGAGAGAGAGAGAGAGAGAGAGAACGAACAAGCACGUGCUCAUAAAACACAUGCUCUCCGGCACUGGAGAAGCUGUGCUCUAAGCCAUAUGGACACUAGUCUGUAUUAACCCUGGCUGGGGUCAGAACUGCUUUAUUUGCAGAAGUGAGGCCCCAAAUCCUGUGCUGGCUUACCAGACCGAGCAGGAUGGUGGAAUAUAUAAAGUGACAUUUUGCACUUGUUUGCUUUUGAUGGCCCAAAGGAGACUGUAUUUUUCUGCUUGUGAAUGCGAU